UGGAGGCAGCAGUGGGGAAUUUUGGACAAUGGGCGCAAGCCUGAUCCAGCCAUGCCGCGUGCGGGAAGAAGGCCUUCGGGUUGUAAACCGCUUUUGUCAGGGAAGAAAUCCUUUGAGUUAAUACCUCGGGGGGAUGACGGUACCUGAAGAAUAAGCACCGGCUAACUACGUGCCAGCAGCCGCGGUAAUACGUAGGGUGCGAGCGUUAAUCGGAAUUACUGGGCGUAAAGCGUGCGCAGGCGGUUAUGCAAGACAGAUGUGAAAUCCCCGGGCUCAACCUGGGAACUGCAUUUGUGACUGCAUAGCUAGAGUACGGUAGAGGGGGAUGGAAUUCCGCGUGUAGCAGUGAAAUGCGUAGAUAUGCGGAGGAACACCGAUGGCGAAGGCAAUCCCCUGGACCUGUACUGACGCUCAUGCACGAAAGCGUGGGGAGCAAACAGGAUUAGAAACCCGUGUAGUCCC
rnacentral:rRNA from 1 species